rnacentral:rRNA from 1 species
AUGUGGUAUGCUCCUAUAAUACCACGGUUGAAACGUCUGUUCAGAAACAAAGAGCAUGCCAAGUUGCUGCGAUGGCACAGUGAGGACCGUAAGAAAGACGGGAAGUUGAGAGCACCCGCUGACGGGUCGCAGUGGAGAAAAAUCGAGAGAAAGUACUGGGAUGAGUUUGCAAAGGACCCAAGGAAUGUAUGGUUUGCUUUAAGCGCGGAUGGCAUUAAUCCUUUCAGGAAGCAGAGCAGCAAUCACAACACCUGGUCCGUGACUCUAUGUAUGUAUAACCUUCCUCCUUGGAUGUGCAUGAAGCGGAAGUUUAUUAUGAUGCCAGUUCUCAUCCAAGGCCCUAAGCAACCCGGCAACGACAUUGAUGUGUACCUAAGGCCAUUAGUUGAAGAACUUUUACAGUUGUGGAAUGGAAACAGUGUACGUACAUGGGAUGAGCACAGACAGGAGGAAUUUAACCUAAAUGCGUUGCUGUUCGUGACCAUCAAUGAUUGGCCCGCUCUCAGUAACCUUUCAGGACAGACAAACAAAGGAUACCACGCAUGCACGCACUGUUUAGAUGACACUGAAAGUAUAUACCUGGACAAAUGCAGGAAGAAUGUGUACCUGGGCCAUCGUCAAUUUCUUCCGACCAACCAUCAAUGUCGAAAGAAAGACAAGCAUUUUAAAGGCGAGGCAGAUCACCGGAAGAAGCCCGCCAUGCGUACCGGUGAUCACAUACUUGCUAUGGUCAAUGAUUUACACGUAAUCUUUGGAAAGGGUCCCGGUGGACUAGCUGUUCCGAAUGACACUGAGGGACACACACCCAUGUGGAAGAAGAAAUCUAUAUUUUGGGACCUACCCUACUGGAAAGACCUAGAGGUCCGCUCUUCAAUCGACGUGAUGCACGUGACGAAGAACCUUUGCGUGAACCUGCUAGGCUUCUUGGGCGUGUAUGGGAAGACAAAAGAUACACCUGAGGCACGGGAGGACCUGCAACGUUUGCACGAAAAAGACGGCAUGCCUGCGAAGCAGUAUAAAGUUCCUGCCAGCUACGCUCUUACGAAAAAAGAGAAAGAAAUCUUCUUUGAAUGCCUGCUCAGUAUGAAGGUCAUAACUGGCUUCUCCUCGAAUAUAAAGGGAAUAAUAAAUAUGCCAGAGAAAAAGUUUCAAAACCUAAAGUCUCAUGACUGCCACGUGAUUAUGACGCAACUGCUUCCGGUUGCAUUGAGGGGGCUUUACCAGAAAACGUCCGAUUAG